rnacentral:rRNA from 1 species
GAUGAACGCUGGCGGCGUGCCUAAUACAUGCAAGUCGAGCGAAGCGGGGACGGGUGAGUAACACGUGGAUAACCUCCUUUAAGACUGGGAUAACUUCGGGAAACCGGAGCCAAACCGGAAACUUAGAGAUGGAUCCGCGAUGCAUUAGCUAGUGGGUAAGCUAACGGCUUACCAAGGCAACGAGGCAUAGCCGACCUGAGAGGGUGAUCGGCCACACUGGAACUGAGACACGGUCCAGACUCCUACGGGAGGCAGCAGUAGGGAAUCUUCCGCAAUGGGCGAAAGCCUGACGGAGCAACGCCGCGUGGAUGAUGAAGGUCUUCGGAUCGUAAAACUCUGUUAUUAGGGAAGCGGUACCUAAUCAGAAAGCAACGGCUAACUACGUGCCAGCAGCCGCGGUAAUUC